rnacentral:rRNA from 1 species
UUGGGAAUCUUCGGCAAUGGACGAAAGUCUGACCGAGCAACGCCGCGUGAGUGAAGAAGGUUAUCGGAUCGUAAUACUCUGUUGUUUGAGAAGAACAAGGCCGUUAGUAACUGAACGUCCCCUGACGGUAUCUAACCAGAAAGCCACGGCUAACUACGUGCCACCAGCCUCGGUAAUACGUAGGUGGCAAGCGUUGUCCGGAUUUAUUGGGCGUAAAGCGAGCGCAGGCGGUUUCUUAAGUCUGAUGUGAAAGCACCCGGCUCAACCGGGGAGGGUCAUUGGAAACUGGGGGACUGGAGUGCAGAAGAGGGGAGUGGAAUUCCAUGUGUAGCGGUGAAAUGCGUAGAUGUAUGGAGGAGAACCAGUGGCGAAGGCGGCUCUCUGGUCUGUAACUGACGCUGAGGAUCGAAAGCGUGGGGAGCAAACAGG